UGGGGAAUAUUGGACAAUGGGGGCAACCCUGAUCCAGCCAUGCCGCGUGAGUGAUGAAGGCCUUCGGGUUGUAAAGCUCUUUUGGCGGGGACGAUGAUGACGGUACCCGCAGAAUAAGCCCCGGCUAACUUCGUGCCAGCAGCCGCGGUAAGACGAAGGGGGCUAGCGUUGUUCGGAAUUACUGGGCGUAAAGCGAGUGUAGGUGGUCAUCCAAGUUGGAUGUGAAAGCCUUGGGCUUAACCCAAGAAAUGCAUUCAGGACUGGAUGACUAGAGGACCGGAGAGGAUAGUGGAAUUCCCAGUGUAGUGGUGAAAUACGUAGAGAUUGGGAAGAACACCAGUGGCGAAGGCGGCUAUCUGGACGGUUUCUGACACUAAGACUCGAAAGCGUGGGGAGCAAACAGGAUUAGAUACCCUGGUAGUCCACGCCGUAAACGAUGGGUGCUAGACGUUGGCGGGCUUGCUCGUCAGUGUCGCAGCUAACGCGUUAAGCACCCCGCCUGGGGAGUACGGCCGCAAGGUUGA
rnacentral:rRNA from 1 species